AACAGGGUUUCUUUAUUUGUUUGUUCCACUGUUUCUAUAAUAAGCAGGUCAGACAAGGUUACAAUCAUUAUCAGAGACGUCGAAAAUCAAACCGUCUGGAUUCUAAACUAUCUACCAAUUUAACUAAUACUGACAACACAAAAAGGACAACAAAAUAUCAACAACAAUAUAUGUGCUCGAAGGAAGAAUCACAGGAAAGAAUGUAACAAACCAUCUCAAUCCCAUCAGGUGCUACUUGGAAAGUACACACCAAUUGUAUUACAUGUAAUUCAUACUUUGAUGAUUGAAUUGGUUAUUUGAAUAAGUUGUACACUUCUGGUCGUUUUUUUAAUAUGCUUACUGUAAUGUUGUUCAUUUUUUAUUAUUGAUAAGGGUGUGUUUAUGUUUGUGUGUUUUGUGUAUGUUGUGUGUUUGUGUGUGUGUUGUUUGAAUCGUUUUAUUUUCACACAAACAAACUAAUGAAUAAGGGCAGCAGUAGAUUUAUCACUGUUUGAAAUUCAUUAAUCGAUUGAGAAAAAGACCA